GCUUACGGCCACACCGCCUUGUUCACGCCCCGGUCUCGUUUGAUCUCGGAAGCUAAGAUAGGUUGGGCCUGGUUGUACUUGGAUGGGAGACCGCCUGGGAAUACCAGGUGCUGUAAGGC
rnacentral:rRNA from 1 species